UGGUCAUUUCGUGACAUAUGAAACACAAGAACAAUGAGGGAGAAGCUUAACGCCUUUUCUUGAUCAUAUCAAAGGACUUUCCACCCGAACAGGUGUGUCACGGACCCUUCCCAGGUGACUUUGCACACCUGUAGUCGUUUGCCCCAGGCUGUUACGCAAUGCGUGGUUCUCGUCAAUAGGAGGUGGCAGUUUGUGAUUCAGGGAGAGACCGAAUAUUCAAAAUUUGACUAAGAUAUUCUUUGAUGGACGCAGAUAGCCCUGAGUUUUAGGUCAGCUUAUAUCCGGUAAAAAGGGCUACUUGAGAAGUUUCCAUUCGGUGACCGACGGUUUUUCUAGCUGCGUCACUAAGGACUUGCAACCCGGAAGUGUCUCUUAAGCGGGAAAAGGACCACUUAUCUGCAGUUAAGUCUUCACCACAGCGGUUCUAGGAAGCAAAUUUAAAGAAGGACAAGAUAGUCAAGAAAUACUAAGUGACCACCAUGGCGUCUGCACAGAGUGACUCUGAGCUAUCCCCUCGCAACAAGCUUUAUUUGAAAAUCAGUGAAAGUUUAUCUGAAGACCAAGUGAAAAAUUUGCGAGCUAUGUUGAUCACUGAUCAUAAUUUUGGCAAAGAAAAAAUUGAGACUGCGACACCCCAUGAGAUCUUCAACAUGUUGGAAGAUGAGCACAAAAUAGGCGAAGGAAACCUCGGAUUGCUGAUAGAGCUGUUGAAAUCCCUUGGUGAAACACAAUGGGCUAAUUAGUUGCAUGAGGAGGAAAUGCACCAAAGAGACAAACAGUCACAGGACAUGGAGAAGACUCAGGAGGAAGCUCAGCAGAAAACGGAUGAACAGCACAAGGAGCAGAUGGAGAAGGAGCGCAAAGAGAGGGAAGAUGCCGAGUUGACGAGGAUGAUGCUGGAUAUACAGCGAAAACAGGACGAACUGGACAGGGACGUGCUGGCCAUGUUGCGCAAAGCUCGACCACCUAAUUAGCGAGAAAACUUACUGCUCAGCCUCAAAAUAAAGCAGAGUGCUCCAUCUCGUUACUAUAAGGUGAUCGUGCUG